CUGGCUAUUCAGGCAGAUGAAACAACAGACACUGCCACUCAUUGUCAGCUGGUGCUUGUGCUACUUUACACUGACAGACUGAAUAAAGUCCGAGAGCGUUUUAAUGAGUUCAUCCAGCUUCCAAACAGCUGACACAGUCGCCACUGCGGUGUUGGAAAGGCUGAACACUAUUCCUCCUGAAGGACAACGGGGAAAACUAAUCGCCCAGGUCCAUGACGGAGCUGCCGUGAAGAGAGGAGCCACAGGUGUCGUGCAGCGCAAGGUUCAAGACGUGUACAGGUGUGCCCACUACGUUCACCUCUAUGCUCAUCAGCUGAACCUGAUAAUGCAGCAGGCACUUUUUUUCAGAUCUUGGCGGAUUUCCUGCAUUUUUCUCCAGGUCAUCCAAGCGACCUGCUGUCCUUGAUCAAGUGGUGGCACACAGACUUCCUGGAGCUUCAACAACAAGGUGGAACUUUCAGUCCUGCUGUUAACACCAUUUAUGAGCACAAGGAUGACCUCCUGAAGGGUUUUCAGACCAUCAGAGAGAAAGGUGAAUUUGAUACAACAACUGUGAGAGAGGCUGGGGGUUUUGAGAAAAUGCUGGAAGAUGAAGAUUUUUGUUUUAUUCCUGGCAUUUUUUCACAAGAUCAUGGCACAUGUAGACAUGCUGUUUAACCAGCUGCAGAAGAGGAACAUUGACUGUCUACAUCACAGGAGUCAUUCAGAGGUUCACCAACAGCAUACAAGCUAUCAGGGACUCCGUUCCUCCAUCUGUGCAGCAGCCAUCCACAAAGAAACAGAAAGCACUAGGCCAAGAGGAGCAGCACCGGUUAGCUACAGAGGUAUGUGAUGCCAUUCUGAGGCCACAGAACCAGACUGGACAAGGCCAAACUGGAGACAGAAUUGUCCCUGGUCUAUGCAAAUGAAGAGUUCAAGGCUUGCAGUGGUGCACUGGCUCUCUUCCAGGUUUUCAUGGAAAACAACCUCCAGGACACAUUCAGCGAGACUGUAAGUCUUCUCAAGAAUCUCAUCACCACACCGAUGACUACAGCAGAAUCAAAGAGGUGCUUCUCUACUUUAAAGAGGAUAAAAACAUUCCUUAGGAACACCAUGGCACAAGACCGCCUGAACGCACUGGCUAUGCUCUCCAUGGAGAAAAACCUGGUCCAGAACAUUCCUGACUUUAACACCAAAGUCUUUGAGAAGUUUGUUACUGAGAAAGACAAAAGAGCAAAGUUCAUGUACAAAUAAGAGCACUCACUCCCUCACACACACUUUUUCUGUGUAUAGUUAACUUUAGUCACCAUCCACCUGUAAAUAUUAUAAUAUAACAUUAUGUUGUAAUUUUGUAUUAUGAGUAUUCACUAAUGUAUUUAAUCCAAUUGCUACAUUUUAUGUUCCUAUGACAGUUUUUCUUUGUAUAUAGUUAUUUUUAAUCAUCAUCCAACUGUAAAUGUCUCUCAAGAACUUUAAUUUUGUAUUAAGAGUAAUCACUAAUAUACAUCUCAUAUCAUUGUCAUUAUCUGUCAAACUGUUGAUUUCUAAAGGGCAAUUAAAUGAUUAUUGUUUAUCCCUAAAACAAUGGUAUCUUUUGGUUUGGGUUCUUUUAUUGGGAUAGUUACUGAAAGCUUCUGGCACAUACAGCCCCACCUAGAAUA